CUCCCGACUAACCCAACUCAAUACGACUGAAUAAAGAAAAUACAACAAUUUUCAAACUGUAUAACUAACUCAAGCCCUUGAAUCAAAAGGAAUCAUCACCUGCUGAUUGGAUGCUGCAAACUGACUGGAUCUGAAGAUGUACACUAUACCUUGUACUUACAUUCCGAGAAUAUAUAGCCUACAUAUGAAUAUGUGGGUCAGUACUAUGGAAACGUACCAAGCAUAUGGGGGUGCAAUGCAUAUAUAAAAUAAUAUCUUAAUAUUAUCACAAUCUAGAAAAUUAUGCUUGCUGAUAUAAAUGACUCACUUAGCUCGAAUUAAAAUCAUCAUAAUCACAAGAGAGUAAAAUAUAUCGGGUGAAACAUGUGAGUCAUCAUAAUAAAUCUCAAUUCACUUCCAUCUCGAUUCCAAAUCAUCAAAGCAAUCAAAUCUCAUAACAAUUCUCUUUGGAAUAUAUGUUCAUUAAAUCUUUCAAAAAUAAUGACUUUCUCAAACUCAGUCUUUCAAAUAAAUAUGUUUUCAUCUCAAAUAGAAGAAUAAGACUUUUCAUAUUAGAUAGGAGAAUACACACACACAUAUUGGGAGCCUCUUACAGCUAACAUAAACCAUGUGAGCUACAUAGAUCCAACGUCCAACCCACGUUGGGGAGAGCUGUCCUAUCCUUGCCAUCGGAGUAGGACCUUAACCUUUGGUUCACUAGUGAUCACUAUAUCAAGCAGUCUUAGGCUCACAUCCUACAGGGGCAAGUAGUUCUAGGUAAUUACCAAUCACAGCUAUACCUCCCACUCGGUGCUAAAGACUACUCUCGGACUUAGCUCAGAUCAUUUCAAAAGAAAACUCACAACAAUACAAUUUAGCAAUUCAUAUCGGCAGCCGUCAUGCUACCCCUUUUUCAUAAUAAAAUCAAUAUGUGGAUUUUUUUUCUCAUUCGAGUUCAAAAAUAAUUCUUUCAAGACCACAAGGUGAAAUCAUUCAAAUAUCAAGGUGUGUAUAACACAUUACUUCACCAAAGAUCAUAAUCUCAAAGAGGGAUUCAAUACCAUAUAUCAACACUUGAGCAAAAUACUUCAAGAUUCAUACUUUAUGUAGCAACCAUAUAUAAUUCAUACAAAAUCUGAAAUUUUAACUUUAAACAUGAUAUUAUCAUCAAAGUUCAUGGUAUUCAACUUCAAGGCAUCAAAAUAUCAUAGUUUCUUGAACAAAAUAUAAUAUAUAAGUUUUCAUCUCAAAUUCAUAGUAAAGCAUAUAAAAUCAUGUAUAUUUGUAAACGUAAACAUCAAUUUGGGCACAAGAAUGAAAGAAGGCUCUUGUUGAAAACACCACAUACUUUGUAAUAACGGAUUUGUUGAAAGAUUGGACCUUCAAGCUUGAUUGAAAGAAUCCUUGUAGAGAACUUUGAAUUCGGAGCUUAACUUUUUGAUUCUUGAGAGAUAAACUUAGAUUUUGUUCUUGGGAAGAGAGGAAGGAUUUUGGAUCGUAAAUUGACUGAUUUAGGGCUUAGGGAUUGUAAUUCUGUGUUUAAAAACCCCUAUCAACGAUUUGGAGUGAUUAGGGAUGGUUUAUGGGUGUGAAAUGACUUCAACACCCUUGAUAUAAGUCAAAACGAAGUGUUUUUGUCACUUGAAACUGACUUAGGUGGCUCCCAAAUAAUCGCACAAGCCAGGUUGGGCGUCUCCUAACCAAUCACCUAAGUUUGGUUGGGCGGCGCCUAACCAAUCGCAUACCCUUACUGUCUCUCACAAAAAUGGGCAUAACUCUUCGCUCGGGUAUCGGAUUUUUACAAAAUUUAUAUCAUUGGAAAGCUAAUUCAAUUAUCUAAAAUUUGAUAGGUCUUGGGAUGAAAAAUUUAAUGUAUAUGAAGAGAUAUAACUGUUUGAAGUUGACCCUUGUAGAAUUAAAUAUCAAUCUUUGGAUGAAUCAAUUGGUCUUAGCUCCACUUUGUUCUAGGUCAUUGCUAUAAACAUUUUUCACCUCUAAAAUACUCCAUAGACUAGGAUAAUGAUCAUGAAACUUGUAUUCAUAUUCAAAUCAUUUGGAUCAGAGCUUAGAUGCGUAAGAUCGACAGAUAGAAUUUUAGCACGAAAAUACGGGUUAUUACAUGACCCACCCUUGACAUUUAAAACAUUGAAAUCCUUUAGGAUGAGAAGUAGAAUUCGUUUUACCUUAAUUUCUCAUAAGAUACCUUUAGGAAGCCUUGGUCUCAGCUUAGAUCAGCUUGACCUUGGGUUGCUCCUCAAUGGAUGAAUCAAUCUUAUCCUUGUGCCAACUCGAGGAUGAUUGCCCCUUAAACUUACUGCCCGCCAUUUCCUAUUUCUAUCUCUCAAUCUCCAAGGUGGCUUGGAAGAUGUCAUCAAUUGUGUCGAACUUGUGUAAGGUCAACUAUGAGGAAAUAUGUCGAUUCAAUCCCACUUUAAAGCAAAUGAUGUCAUAACUUACUUUCUCCCCUUGGUGAUCAAGUUUCAAAAUGAGUUGUUGGAAAUCAUCAUAGUAAGCCGCGACGGUUUUGUUUCCUUUCCUUAAGUUAUAUAACUUGGCAAGGAUUUUUUGUUGGUACCUUUUGGGGAUAUACCUUUGCCUAAUGAGAUAUCUUAGUCGAAACUAAGGAGGUGGAUGCCCCUCAACCAAUAUAUUGCCAAAACGCUUAACAUACUCCCACCAAGUAGUAGCAUACCCCACAAAAUGAGUAAUCGCAUAGCAACUCUUUUUCUCCUUGAUGAGAUCAUUGACUUAGAAGACACUCUCGCAUGCAAAUUCCCAUACAAGAAACUCCUUGGGGUCACUCUCACCCUUGAAGAUUGGAAGCCCUAUCUUGAUGGUAUUUAGUCAAACUUCUCAGUUUUGGUUGCCUUGUUGGUUCUAAGGACCAACUCUUUCUUCCCAACUAUGAACUUCCCUUGGAUCGACAUGCCUACCCCUUAUCUCUUCCCUUCUUAUAUAAGCAUCAUAAUACGGACCAUACCUCUCAUGUUGUUCCCUCCUCCCAUAUCCCUCAACAUGGAUGGUUCUAUUUGGGUUAAAUGGAGCUUGUAGUGGCAGAACUAGGUUUGGUGGAUAGUAAGGUCUUUGGUCAAAUGGAGUUUUAUUGGAGGGCUCGGGUUUUGGGGAGGCAUUUGGGUUCCAAGUCCUUCUUGUUGGACUUGGUGUAGUGGAGGGUGGAUUAGCCUCUCAUGGUCUCAUAUUUGGGAUUAAAGUGUGGGCUAGUUUGUGACAUUGGAUGGUUGUCUCGGGGGAUGGAAUAUUUGGUGCAAAGCCUCGGGGUUAGUGGUUGGUGAAAUGUUUUGAGAGGUAGAAAGUCGGCUUCUUUGGCUUUCCACAGGUUGUAAUCUCCCACCCAUAGUCGAUAUCUCACCCAUCGCCGAAGCCAUGUUCGAGUUUAAAUUUUUAAUACCCAUAUUCACUCUAACAAUGUCAUGGGACAUGGCCUCAAGAAGAGCCAAUAUAGUAUGAAUGGCAUUAUUAUCCAUUGUUUUGAGCAUUUGAGGCAUCGGGUUCCAUUGAGUCUAUACCAAAACAAACCCUUCAAGUUAUGGUUCAACAAAUCACCAAAUUUAUACACAAUGCCACACACACAACAAUACAACACAAACCUAAAAAACAAACACCCGUUAGCUCAAAUAAUCCUCACUAUUCUCUCACACACUUUGUGGUCUCACUUGUUGUCAUAAAUGUUUGUAAGCCGGCUUGUAACUUGUGGUGAUUUGAAGAGUAAGUCUACUCCUUAGUGUGAAUGGAUUUUUGUUCAACGACUCAAGAAAGUAAUGUUCGAACUUGAACCAAGAAGUAAUAUGAAUUAAAACAACAAAAUCACUCAAGCAAACGAUGACACGAAGCAAACGAUGUCAAAGGAUUAAUUGGCAACUUAUUACUAUUAUACUAGUUUGUUAAUUAGUUCUCGGAUAAAUUAAAGGAAACUAAGAAUAUAUAAUUAGAGACAAUUACACCAAAUUUGAGAUUAAUAAUGAUGCGAAUAGUAAACUAGGGUGAUGUGGUAGCAUGUUAUUGGUCACGACCCUCACAACUUUUCAACAACUUGAAGCUUUUUGUCUUUAUACACCUUUUGGAAUGGAUGACUUAAUAUUUGAGGCAAAAUAAAGUCUUGUACCCUUUUCAACUUUUCAAACUCAAAAAGGUGAGAUUUGAAUUUACUUUUACCAUAAAAUAAGGCCCAUGAUUUAAGGAAAAAGUGGUUGUCAAGUCUAUAAAGUGAUGUGUCCAAGUCUUCUCACAAACAACUUUAUAACUUGUCUUACAACCUUUUGUAUCUAUCUUACACCAUUGGUUGUCUUAAGUUAUAAGAAUAGAUGAAGAACAAUAUGAAAACAACAAAAACCAUCAAGAACUCAAAAACAACACAACAACACAACAACUAUGUUCACUCCAACAUCAACAACAACACUAUACGGCGAAUAACAACAUCAUCAAGGUUCGGCCAACUCCAAGUUCACUUCAAUAUUGUCAAUAUACUAAGCUCAACUUUAGAUCUUGACACUCUUUGUGCUAGUGAGAAAGAUACAAACACAAUAAAAAACUACACAAACAAAAUAACUACCAAACCUAGAAAAAACAUCUCUGCCAAAACAACAACAACAAGGUCUAUACCUUCUCUGCCAAGAUCCAAACACAAGAAUUCAAUUUUUUUUUGUGGUUUUUCUAACAAGAAUGCCCAAGAUGGAUCUUGUAGGUACAAUAUUGAGCCAUGAUUUGGUACCAAAUGAUACAAUAAAUGACCAAAAACAAAUGAAAACAAACACCAAAAAGAGUCCACAAGUCGAGAAACCGAGGACUAUCUAGGUGACCACUCUCGAAUUCGCUAUAUUAAACUAGAAUAAAGAGAAUACAAGUGAUAAACACUCUAAAUCAGCUGACCACAAAAAUAUAUUAGCCACAAUAAAAUGAUGAAAAACAAUAUUACAUUAAACAAAAACUCAUGGGUUCUACAACAAAACAAGGAAACCGACAGCUAAAACAAGAUACAAGGAUAGAUAGUUAGACACUUGAUGUGUAGUCUUAAAAAUACAAGAUCAUAUUUAACUCUUGGACCCCCUUAACACUUCACACAACAAACACCUAAAUCUUACAUUGAAAAACGGGGGACUUUACCACCCUAAUCACCAACACCUCAAGCCAAGAAUGCAAACACAAGUUACACUCACUUUCCUAGCCCUAGUUUCGGUUUUGGAGUUCCUCUCCCAAGUCUAGAGAGAACUUUAGAUGUUCAAAAUAUUACAACUCUCAAUAAUCAUAAACUCUCUAUGAAUAAAAUCUUAAGUUGUUAAAUUUAUAUUACAUUCCCAAAAGAGUUAAAAUGACGAAGCUGAUCUUUUAAUGAUUAAGGCUUCAAGGCUUCCCCUUGAGUGUAGACAUAGAAGCGGAUAUUUGAUUCUUCCACACUUAAGCUCGGGUCUUCUCUUAGUUGCCUUUGACAUACACAAAAAGUGUCCAUCUAUGAGAUCACACUUGUAUCAAAAAUAGUAGCAUGUGUUAGCAAAACAUAACAAAAGGGAGUGGUAAAAUUCAAUUAUAAGAAUUUAAAUGGUUUUUUCUUGAAGUAAAAUAGAUUUUAGAUUUUUAUAGAAUUUGAAUAAGCAAAAAAAAAUCAAGGUGAAAUAGACCAUUAUAUAUAUAUGUAUAUAUAUUGGUCACUUUUUUUUAUUUUUUAUUUUUGGUGACACAACCAAUGGAAAUAAUUUGAACUCACUAAAUUGAACCCACUAAGAACCACAUAGGUCCACCCCUGUGGCUCAAACAACCUUCAGGAUAGCUUAACCAAAUUAUACAUGCUAGAACAUGAAGGAGUGCCUUAUAGUAACAGGUAAAGUUGUUGCCAUGUGACAAAUAGGUCAAGGGUUUAAGCCAUAGGAAUAGCCUAUUGCAGAAAUGAAAGGUAAGACUUCAUACAGAAGACCCUUGAGGUCCGACCAAAAUUCCAGACCCCGCGCAUAGAGGGAGAUUUAGUGCACCUCGCGCAUAGCGGAGGAUUUAGUGCACCGGGUGUUUUAUCCUUUUUGUGAUUUUAUUUGAAACAAAUACUUUUGACCUCUUUAAACUAUUUCAGUAAUUUAAAAUUAAUUUUAAGAAAAUAAUAGAGUCACCACUUGACUUUUAUAAAGAAAUAUCAACAAAAACUUAGAAAUUUCAAAGAUUCAGAAAUAGAAAUAAAUCUUUGAAACAAGAGAAAUAAGUAAGAAUUUAUUUAACGCCCUAAUAAUAUUUUCAAGACACUUAUGAGUAUCCAUUUAAAAAUAAUUUACUUAAAUAUUUUGACUAACUUCAAAAAGUGGCUUGUUUUGCAAGGACUCGAUUUUGUAGGGAAUAUGAAAAUUAAUUAUGUUUUAAUACCUAAAUUGACAUUUAUUCAUCCAAGUGAAAAAAAUAUUUCACUUAAAUUAAAGAAAAAUAAAUUUAAACUAAAUUUCAAAUUUUUGAAAUUUAGAGGAAAACAAAUUUACAUAUUUUAUUGAAAAAAGAAUAAUAUUAUUUUAUUUAUUUUUGAGUAGGGAAGUUGAUUUUAUUAGAAAUAACACUUUUGGAAAAAAUGUGAAGGGAUUAUCAAAUUAAGAGAAAUUUAUUAAUUAGAAAGUUAAAUUUUUCUACAAAAAUUAGUUUUGUUUGGGUUAUAAUAAAAUUACCUUUAAUCCAAGUAAAAUAUAAGUCACAUGAACAAAUCAAACACCAUCUUGGUGUGAAAGAUUUUUAAUUUUUUGGAAGGCUCUAAGGAGAAAAAUUAAAGGAACCUAUUUUGAUACAUUUUGAACAAGAUAAAUUACGUGAGAUAAUACGAAUUAUGCGAAGGAAAACCAAGAUAAAAUAGAAUGGAAACACCUUAGGAAAUCACUUAGAUUAAUUAAAUAAAGUUAGUACAAAUUACACGCAACAAGAAAAAAAGGAAAGAUGGCAAAAUUUGAGAUUUGAGGCCCUGCUUUGGCCUAUUAAGUUGUCUAGAGGAUUAAAAUUCAUUUUAUGGACUUCUUCAGUCUAUUUUCGAUGUGUAUAGUGGUUUUAUGUCAUGGCUCUUUUUCUCUGUGUUUUCUAUAUAUACAAUGUAUAUCAGCAUAGAAAACUGUAUAUUUGCUUCCUAGUCUUUGUUCAUUGUUGUAUAUACAAUACUCUUUUAUAUCAGCUAUCUUCAAACUAUGAAACCUAUAUAUUUGUUGUAUACCAUUGAAUACACCAUGUCUCUUCAUUAGUCAAUCCUUUUUUGAACUUUUUGUAAUGACCAUUUUCGUUGUUAUGUACAAACCUCCCGUUAAAAUUUUGUAUUAAAAUUUUUCUAGAAUUUUAUGUUAUAUAUUUCAAGCUAAGCUAGUUCGAGUGAAAUCAAAGUAAUUUAUGGUCUAGGGGAAUUCUAGAAUUAUUUGGGCAAGUUGGGUGAUUUUUUAUUUGAUCUUCCAUUGGCUAAGACGAUAAAGAACCCAUAGGAAUUUAUGGAAUUGAAUUUGGAUGAUUAGUGUGAGUGUCAGACCUGAAGGGAAUGGGUCGUGACAAUGUUUGUAUAAGAGACUAGGUUCACCGAUCUCAACGUACCAAAAUGGGUCCAAGAAGUCUCGCAGAAUGGUAUGGAGACGUCUGUUCUUUUCUUGGGGAAGCUAUAGGACUUUAGGAAAUCUGUCAUUAUUGUUUCUUUUUUGCCAUAACUUGAUUCCAACUGGUAUCUUACAAUCCAAAUUGGUAUCUAAUCCUCUUCAUUCUUUUGUCCGCAGAUGGUGGAGUCAUCCCAACAACCCCCAUACUAUAUGCUCCAACUACAGAGCUAGUCAUAAGAGCAAGAGGAUGAGUGAGACAGAGUGGUAUGGGAAGAAGGGGAUGAGCCACACCCGCCAGUGGUGAGGCUCAAGAAGUAACUGGCCAGAUCUUUAAGAGGUCAGUAUCACCUUCCCAAUUUUAGGAUCAUGUUAUAGAAAGAGAAGUAGUAGAGCAGAAGUGAGUGGAGCCUGAGGUGGCGGGUGAACCAAGAGUUUCAAGGUUAUCCCGUGUGUCCACAGAGGUUGUUUGGUAGGUGUUAGCUUUCUGAGUGGGUUAGCAGGGACUGGAGAAACACCCACUAUACCGUCUUUUUAUGCUUUAAUUGUUCAUCUACUAUAAUUAUGGCUCUAAGAAUGGGUGAUGCUUCAGGGAACAAUGCUUCUCUUCAUCCAAUUUUGGAUUUGGUGAUGACCGAUACAGAACACGAACUAUUGACAAAAUUUUUGAAGAUGAAACCUCAAACAUUCCAUGGUACCAAUUUUGUAUAUGAUUUCGUUCAUUAUUGAUGACUGUGAGAGGUGGAGAAGCAUGCUAAGUAAUGGCGAAGGGUGUACGUAGAAUGUCGGUCACAAAUUUUGGAUUUGUUGACUUAUGAAUAAUUUUAUGCCUUAUUCUUCUUAAAGUAUAUGCUUUAUUCUCUUCGAGAUAGAAAUAAUGAUGAGUUCUUAGCUUAGUAGGAGGGUGACGUAUCUAUUGAAGACUAUGAGGCUAAGUUCCAUCCCUUCUCUACUAUGCCUCUUAGUUAUUUACUACUAAGGAGGAGAGGAUUCCUCUCUUUGUUAAGGAUUUGAAUUAUGAUCUUGAGUUCUUUCUGUGCAUAUGAUAUCCACACAAAAGGGUUCAAUGAAGUUUCUGACUAUGUGAAGAAGUUGUAUGGAACGCAAGCAGAUCAAGAUAAGAUGUUAGCCAAGAUGUCCCACAAUGUUGAAAAUUUUAGUCUAUCUUAAAAGAUAUCGUAAAGUUCAAUACUUUCAGUAGUUCAAAGGACGGGGUGACAUACUCAUACUUCAUUGUAAUUCAAAGCAUCUUAAAAAGUCUUAAAAUAUUAUAAUUUUAUCAUUUUACUUUUCAAAUUAAUAUAUAAAAGAAUACCAUUUCAAAUAGUCAUUUCAAGUAUCAAAACCCUUUACUAGUGAUUAAAAAACAAUUUAUAUGAAGAGUGAAAUCAAUAUUUAGCCUUUCGUAAAUGUAAUUCUCAACCCUAUUUUUAAACCAUCAAUAUAAUAUAUAUAUAUAUAUAUAUAUAUGUAUAUAUAUAUAUAUAUAUAUAUACAUAUAUAAUCAUCAACUUUUAGUAGUAGUUGAAGUAGGGGCAUUCAAUAUACCUUUUUGACGAAGAACGAAAAAAGGAACUGUGAUAAUUAGCCUUAGACCUUACUUCUUGAAUCCUUGAGAGUCCUUAGACUUAGAGUGGACAAGAGAAGAGUUGUUUUUAAUUUGACUUAGGACAAAUCUCGAUUAGAAAAAAUCUUUGGAGAGCCUUAUUGAACUUGUGAGCUUUGGAGAUUUGGAAUUUGAAAAACCCUUCUUGAAUUUAUGAGAAUUAGGAGAGAAAAGAAAUUAGGAUUUAGGAAUGAAUCUCCUAGUUUAGGAGGUCUUUAGGGAUUUAAAAUGAGUUGAGGGAGUUACACGGGGUGUGAAAAAUACUUUUUCCCUGAGUUAAUUAGAGAACUAUAGAAGUUUUACAUCUAGGAGAGAGAGUGCAUGGCCAAUUGUGUGGUACCCAACCGUGCCUUACAUGGCUCAGUAUGCAUCUUGGAUAAUGUCUCACUAAAAUACACAUAACUUGUUCCUCUGAAAAUAGAUUGAUGAAUGGUCAGAGGAGUUGGAAAGAAGACUAGGAAACUUUUAAUUUUGUAGGUAUUAGGCAACCUUAGUAUAUUCUAGGAGCAAUGGCUUUUAGAAGUUGACCCAAGUAAGAACUUGUACUAAAACUCAAUCAGUAUGAAAUUUCUCAACUCAACUUUGAGUUAGGAGAUUUCUAUAACCUCAAUUCAUCUCCAAAACUCCUCCCACACUAAAGAAUUGAUAUUUAGACUUAUAUCUAAGUUGAAAUUAUUGGGUUCAGGUCUAUACGGGUAUAAAAGAUGGUUCAAAUUCUAUUUCAAAAGUGUGGAAUGUAACACAAGCCUAGGACUUGGACACAAUAGGCAUCCCAGAUCAAUGAAGGCCCAAGAAGAGUCUUAGCAUCUCAUCAUAGGCAUAGGCAUCGGUAACAUGUAGAAAUAGGCCCAUAAAAUAUUAAGUUCAACUUAAAUAAGAAUUGUAAAACCAAGACUUGAAAUACGACAUAAAGACAACUUUCUACAUCAGUCUAUGAAGCCAAAAACAUUAUUAGUGAAAUUCCUAAGUCGGUAAUGGCCCCGGUGAUACCAUAAGACAAAUGAACAAUGUCUAAAUGAAUGAAAGAAAACAUAUGUCUUCCUAAGGAUAGAAGGAUCACUAAUUGUUACUUGUUGUCCCACGGAGAACCUAAUGUUGCAAGAGUCAGGAAUAAAUGCCUUCAAACCUGAAUCAUGAAAAGAUAUAGCAUCCGACGAUGGUUUGUGUGACAGUACUAGCAUGAGACCUAGAGAAAGGGACAAAGUCAUUUAUAAAGCAAGUCCUAAAGUUCAUAGAGGAAGUUUGGAGAAAGAGAUUCAAAAUAUGAAAUUAUAAUGAAUUAUAAAAUUUAUGUAAUACCCCGUACUAAUCCUAGCUCGACUCAUCUCAUAGUUGCAUGCUUAAGGGGCUUAUGGCUUGAAAUUUUUACUAAGUGUUGGAGACUUAGUCAUUUUCAAGACCCCUAAACUUUGAGAAUUUUCAUUUGGUCUUUCCAACCCCGAGACAUUAGUUCUUUAGUUAAUUCAUGUUCAAGGAAGUAAGAAGUAUAUCUAGGGGAAGUUUCAAAUUUUUUGAAUGAGGAUUGGGUCACUUCUUAAUUUCAAUUCCAGAACCUCACCGUGAUAGCGGUGCGUCGCGGUGGGUAUGGCGAUGGGCAUAUCAUUGCAUCGCAGUGAAAGUGUUUUUGUCCAGUUCUUGAUUUAUAAUUUUAGCAUAUGUAUCAUUAUCUUUAUCCUAGUGUGUAAAGUGCUUAUUAGGUUAAAAGUGUUCAUAGAAAUCACUUAGAGCAAAAUUGAGUUAAGAGCCUUUGAUUCGUUCCAAACUUGGUAUUCCAUUCUACAAGGGUCAACUUUGAAAGUGUAUAACUUUCUAUGUACGUAGAAUUUUUUAGCUCAAGACCUACCAAAUUGUAGAUAAAUGAAUUAGCUUUCCAACUAUACCAAUUUUGUCUUAAUCUGAUACCCGAGCAAAAAGUUAUGAUCAUUUUCGUCAGAACCAACAGGUCACCACGAUAAGACCACAUCAUGAUGAACCUUUAAUCCGUAUUUUAGUUAUGAAUUUUUUGUUUAAAUGAUGAAGGAGAACUUGGGUCUUUUCCAACCUCAACCCAAUUCAUAAAAAUAUGACCUACGAGUUCAAUUAGGGCAUUUUAUGCCCAUAUUCACCAAAUUUCCUCUCAAGAACAUACCUUAAUCAUCCCCAAGUUCAUCCAUUCCAUCAUCCUCUCUUCAAGGAAACCAAGAAUUUAAGUUCUCUAACCAAGAAUUUUCAAGAAAACUUUCAAGAUCAUCUCCAUGGCUUUUAAGGUCAAGGUUUCACCAAGUCAAGUCUAUUAAGGUAUGUGAGGUUAUGAACAAGGGUAUCCUUUCACCCUUGUGCCCAAAUUACAUGAUUUUAAGAUUUUAUUUAAUUAUUUUAAAGUAGGGUUCAUACCCAAGUGUGUGUGUAUAUAUAUAUAUAUAUAUAUAUAUUCUUGAAGCAUGGGAUUAUUAUGAGAUUUAAAGCAUUGAGUAUAUCAAGAGUUACUUAAGUUUAUGUUUUAACCUAUAAGUUUUAUAUUAUACAUGAGAUUGCACUAUCUUGACAUGAUAUUGUUCAAGUAUUUCAAGAUUAUUACUGAGCAUAGAGUUUAAAGCAUGGGUUUUAAGCCGUAAAUUUAUGUGUUUAGAUUUCAAGAAGAUCAUGCUCUUAAGUUUUAUUUGAUAAGUUUAUACCAAGAAUGAGUUUGAGAUUUUAAGAAGACUAUGAUAUUAAGCUUCCUUGAUGGUUUUAUACCAAGAUUUAAAGAAAUAUCGAUCUUUUGAUCCUAAGCUAACAUAUGGAAUCCACACUUGUUCAUUUUGAUUACAGAUUAAAGCAUAGAGAAGCAUAGCUAGUUUUUAUUAUAAACCCUUAUGCUAUUUUAAGAUGCAUUUCCAAAGAAAAAGUAUGAGAAUAUAAGUAUGAUGGGAGUAGUAUUUAGCACCAAGUUGGGUAUGAGUCCAAGUCACAUGUCCCAGAACUACGUGCCACCAUAGGUUUAAGUGCCCAUAGUGGGAUAAGUAUAGUGAUCACUUAAGUUAAGAUACUAUUCCGAUGGCAAGGGUAGGAUGGAUCUCCCUAACAUGGGUAAGACGUUGGACUCCAUGAUAGCUCACAUGGUUUAUGUAGAUUAGAAAAAACUCCCGAAAAAAGAAAAAGUAAAAGUAAAGCUUUUAGAAACUAAAUGUGCUGGCUCACAAAGUUUAUUCAGUAUGCUUUAUUAUUUAUGUUUUAUGAUUUUUCAUCUUUCAGUUUUAUUCAAUCCCAAGGUGAGUCGCUUACACUUAGCUUGCAUUAUUUGAAAAUCUAUGAAUAUAUUAAGUUAUUAUUUUAUUUAUGCAUUCACCCCCACAUACUCAGUAUAUUCCAGAAGUAUUGAUCCGCAUAUAUGUCUAUGUGCUACAUUGUAUCAUAAUGUAGGUACUAGUUGUAGCUCACACAUCAUCAUCAAACAGUUUGCAGCUUCCCGUCAGCAUGUGAUGAAUACUUUUGAUUCAAGGGCUCAAGUCAAUCAUAGUUCGAGUAGCAUUUUUUUUUCUUUAUUCAAUCGUAUUGAUUUGGGAUAGAUGGGGGUCAUGUCCCGGCUACCUAUAGUAAAUAUUAGUAGUGGUUUAAUAGACAGUCAGUAUAGUUGAUGUUUGAAAUUUAAGUUUGAUUUUGUAUAACCAGAGUUGUAAUCAUUUUAUACAAUUUUGUACUGUACCUAUUUAGUAAAGACAUCUCUUUCACUUAUUUCUUUUAGAUUAAUGUAUCUUAUGUAGUUGCUCAUGGGUUAUGCCAUUAUAUGGGUUACCUUGGGAUAUUUAUGGUCCUAAGCACCGUGUGACAUUUCGGGGGUAGUCUCGGAUCAUUACAAUUUACUUCUGAACUAUAUAGCACUAACUCUAAGUAAUCGAAGGGAUAUAUGGGUCUGUAUUCACCAACCUAUGGGGGCCCAAUCGAUGUUUGCUGCAUGAGUAAGAUAAACAUAAUUUGGACAUCAUAAUAUUAUCAUAAAGGGAAUAAACAUCAUAAGGUUGUUCCGUUAGGAGUGAACCAUCCCUACAUUGGCAAAACAUAAUUUUUUGGCGUUGGUCACGAAGAUUUACACCUUCUCUGUGAACUACAUAAUUAUAUUUAAGCCCAAUUUAAAAUAAUUUUCAUAACCAUUUAUCCCUGGAUCUUUUGUAAAGGUAUUUAUACUUUGGUAUCGUCAUACUAAGACUUGCAAGUUAUCCAUAUCAUGCCAAAAUCAUUAUCUUAAAAUAUUAUAGACUUUAAUGCCGCCUUUUCAAGUAUUUGAACAUAGUUAACAUUCCUCAUAAAGGUUAAAGACUCCAUAUUUAAAUAACAGUACUCUUAAAAAAACAUAGAAUAUAGAUAUUUGUUCCUUCUUACCAAAAUCAAAAUUUGAGUAACAAGGUGAAUUACAAGAGGAAUAUAAAUUUUUGAAUUCAAUACACCCCAAUAAAAUUUCUUAUUCAUAAAGUUUCAUAUUUCAAACAAUAAUCUCCAAAUCUCAAGUUCCAUUAACAAUUCAAGCCUUAGUUCAUCAAAAAGAGGUUUUCAAUUUUAAAUAAUUCAUCCUUUUGAAAAUCAAUCAAAAACCCAUUUUUAAAACUCAUAUAAACUAAUUUAAUUAUUGGAGAAAUCGAUCUAGCUUUUCUCACUCUAUCCCACCUAAUUGGUGACCUACACCUCCUGCUCUAAAAUGCCUCAAAUGGUACCAUCUGGCUACUAGAGUGAUAAUUAAUAUUGUAUGAAAAUAUCCUUAAAAUCAAUAACACAAUCUCUUAAAAUAUCAUCUAAAUUUUGAAUAGUACAAUCGACUUUCCCUGUUUCAACAUGAAAAGCGGUGGUAAGAUUCACUUGUAUGUUCAAACCCUUCUAAAAAGAUCACUAAAACUUAGAAGAAACUUUCCUACCUCUAUCGAAUUUUAGGAAUAGAGGGGCUCAAUGAAAUCUAACAAUCUGUAAAAUGUACAACUAUGCAUAAUAUUCUUUCGAAUAAGUCGUCCACAUUGGCAGAAAAUGAGCAGUCUUGGUCAUUUUGUAAACGAUGACCCAAAUAGAAUCAUCUUGGUUGUGAGAACGCCGGAGACCCAUGACAUUACAAAAAUAUUAUAGACUUUAAUACUGUUUUUUCAAAUAUUUGAACACAUUUAACAUGCCCCAUAUAGGUUAAAGACUCUACAUUUAAAUAGCAAUGCUUUAUAAAAAAAAAAAAAAAAUAUAGAUAUUUCUUCCUUCUCACCAAAUCAUGAUUUGAGUAACAAGGUGAAUUACUAUAGGAAUAGAAAUUAUUGAAUCCAAUCCACCCCAAUAAGCUUUCAUAUUCAUAAAGUUUAAUAUUUCAAACCAUAAGCCCCAAUUCUCAAGUUCCAUUAACAAUUCAAGCUUUCUCAAAAAGAGUUUUUUAAUUUUAAAUAAUUCUUCGUUUUUAAAAUCAAUCAACAAUGAACAUUUAAUACUCACAUAAACCACUUGAAUAAUUGGGGAAGACAUCCAAGAAUAAUUUUGUAGAAAGAGGGUUGCUCAAAAUAUCUUUUGUCGGAAGGAAUUUGAGAAAGGUUGAAUUUUGAGACAUGAAUCGUGAACACUAGUUGACUUUGCUUCUAAGAGUUUUGAGAAAGAGUAGAAUGUAUUUUGACUAUUGAAAACGCAUUUAGGGUUUUGGGGUUGUUUAGUAUAGGUAGAGGACGGUUUUUAAUCAAGGAAAGGACCCUAAUGGCUCUAAAAUAUAAAAAUUUAAUGAAAUUCCAUCAGGCCAUGGGGGAGGGGGAGAGGGAGGGGGCUGCACGGCUUGCCCCCCAUUGUGUGCCCUUCUCUUGCAUAGCGUUCUUCCCAGAGCAAAGGUGAAACAGAAGGCCCACCAGCCUGGCUGUGUGGCGUGGAGCUUGAAUCCAAGUAUCCCUGAAUGUGAUGCAUGGGCCCGAUAUUAUGUCCUAAUCAUCCUAACCAUCCCCUAACUCAUCCUUAAUGAUUUAUACUCAUUUUUAUUCAUUCUAAUAAGACAUUCAAAUGUACGGGUUGUUACAUGUAACGACCCUAAAGGUGAUACUUUGUUUAUAUCUCGUUUUCCAUCUUUUGAACCUUACCAUAAUUUCAACUUUGUCUUUGCAAUUUGUGGGCAUGGAAGACAUAUAACUCUCAAGGUGAUUGGAUGUGUUUUGGAGAAAAUUUUCAGUUUGGAAGGUUUAAGAUUUGGAGAAUUAGUCAAAUAUAAAAUAAUGGUUUGGUUGGUUAGGAUUUGAGUUUCGAUGAUUCCAACUAAGUUCGAAGGGCAAUUUAUGACUUUGUCGGAUAUGGUUUGCAUGGAUCCCUAAGGUGUAUGAGUGUGGUUUGGUCCGUUGUGUUGUAUUCUAACUUUAUUAAAGUUUAGAGUUGACCACGGACAAUAUUUGAUCAAGAUGGUGAUUUGAUGAGUCCAACAGAUUCAGAAUGUGUUUCAUGGUCAAUUUGCAUUAUUGGUUAAUGUUCAUAAAUUUCGAAUGCAUUUUGAGAGUUUUGGAAAUGUUGGUUUGUUGUUUCUAGUGCAGCUACAAAUACUUCUUUGAGUUUGUGAGGCCUUGGUUGCUUUCAUGGAGAUAGAUUAUCAUUGGUCAUCCCAUUCUAGAUAUCCCGUCACAUGCGAGGGUUAGGGUCAUCUAGUCCAGAUCAACAUUAUUCUUCACAUUCUCGAGGUAUUUGGUUGGGUCAGUGGUUGUGCUUGCGCAGAGUAAAGAGUACAUGGACAGAAUUUAAAAUCAUACUAUAUUUCAAAACGUGGACUUCAUAUAUUUGUUUGGGAGCUAGAGAGCUCAAUUUUGAGAGAUUUUUUAUGGGACUUCAAUAAAUCCAUAUUUAAUAUUCUUCCACUAAUUAAUAUCUCCCUUAUUUCAUGAAUUAAUUUGAAUUUGGGUAUUGGAAACUGGAUUUUAUGCCCUGAAGCAUUAAAAUUGAUAAUUUUCAUGAUUUGAGGUUUGAUUCGUGCUCGAAAUUUGUGAUUUUUGAUGCAUAAGAUUUUAUGUAAUGCAUAAACAAAUUUUUAAUUUUAUUACCAGCAUUCUCCUCGAGGCUGAGAAUGACACUUCAAAUUGAUUUUUUAUCUAAAAUUUUUAUAUAGUCGUAUGAAUGUCGAUAGACUCGUAUACUAAUAUAGAGUCCAAUCCGAUGCCCUUCAAAACGAAAAGGAGGCAUUAUUGUGAUGGUUCGUGACUUGUUUCCCUUCAAAAGAAAAAGGAGGCAUUAUUGUGAGGGUUCGUGACUCGUUACUUGGUAUCCAAGGUAGUAUGUGGCUUACCUUGUAAACUCUGCUGGGAGAUGAUUAUUGUAUAUUGAUUAUGAGGGCUUUGGCAAUAUCAGGAUUGCCAAAUUCUAUUGUGUUGAUUAGUAUUUGGACACUAGUGUAUUUUGAAAGGUACUUUAUGACGUACAAAUAUUGGAAGAGCUACUUCUUGAUGUGAAUCUAGGUUGGAAAUUAGUUGAUAGACUUUAUAGACAUUGUUUGACUUGUUUGUAUAUGGCUAGAAGAGCCUUGAGUGAAUUGUCGAUUGUUGACUCGAGAUACUAAUAUAUCAUGAUUGGAAUGGAACAAAUGAUGCGGUUAAGUGAUGAACCCUGAAAAAUGUAUACGUAUUCAUACAUAUUCUUACCAUUUUAGUGGAUACAUGAUAUCUAUCGUCCUAUGGUGACCAUUGACUUGAUUUUUAUGAACUUCCUUAUGCAUUUUGAAAAGCUUUUAUCUAUUCUUCUGAAGUCAAGUGGUAUGGUGGUGGAAAUGAAUCUAACAAGUUGAUAUAAUGCAAAAACGAUAAAAUGAUUCCAGCUUGUAGUAAAGCUUAGGCAACAACAACAACAAACCCAGUGUAUUCCCACCUAGUGGGGUCUGGGGGGGUAAGAUGUACGCAGUCCAUACCUCUACCUCUGAUGAAGUAGAAAGGCUGUUUCCAAUAGACCCCCGGCUCAAGGCACGAGAUACCACACAAAUACAUAGUGCAGCACAAAAGCAGAUUACAUAACAUAAAUACGGCACCCAUAAGUAAUAUAAAGCAGAGGAAAGCAGGGGAAAGCACACAAAUUCGUAAUACAACAUGGAACACGGAACACGGAAUCAUGACAAGAAUAAAACCUCAAUGAUGAAAAAGUGUUUCGGGCAAGUAUAUGUACCACGCGAGCUCCCCAUGGAUCACUGCUCCUGAAAAAUCUCAAUGGUGAAAGAGCAUGUGUAUCCCAGGUUAUUAUUGGCCAUUGCACUUCAUAACAUCUUACUUACAUGAUUUAAUAUGAUUUUUCUAAUUGAGCAUACAAGAAUACAUUUCUUUUC
rnacentral:lncRNA from 1 species